GGGGAAUUAGCUCAGUUGGGAGAGCGCUUGGAUGGCAUUCAAGAGGUCACGGGUUCGAGCCCCGUAUUCUCCA
rnacentral:tRNA from 1 species